rnacentral:rRNA from 1 species
CCAGACUCCUACGGGAGGCAGCAGUGAGGAAUAUUGGUCAAUGGGCGGAAGCCUGAACCAGCCAAGUCGCGUGAGGGAAGAAGGCCCUGCGGGUCGCAGACCUCUUUGGACGGGGAGCAAGGCCGCCGACGUGUCGGCGGAAGGAGAGUACCCGUAGAACAAGCAUCGGCUAACUCCGUGCCAGCAGCCGCGGUAAUACGUAGGGGGCAAGCGUUAUCCGGAUUUACUGGGUGUAAAGGGUGCGCAGGUGGCAGGGCAAGUCAGCGGUAAAAGCGCGGGGCUCACCCUCGCUACGCCGUUGAAACUGGCGUUCUUGAGUGGGCGAGAAGUAUGCGGAAUGCGUGGUGUAGCGGUGAAAUGCAUAGAUAUCACGCAGAACUCCGAUUGCGAAGGCAGCAUACCGGCGCCCAACUGACGCUGAAGCACGAAAGCGUGGGUAUCGAACAGGAUUAGAUACCCGGGUAC